GAAAAGUUUCUAAGCGCACCUUCCAGCACGGGCCACAUGAACACACCAUACGCGGCCGUAAGUGCCACGCCAACCUGUUGAAAUGAACGAAACGAUACGAGCACCUCUUACGGCCAGCUACUGUUCCAAAUUUGAAGUCCCGCAUCGCUGACGGUAACACCCGGUGUAUCGCUCUCAAUGGGCAUACCGUUGAAUGUCCAGGAUAUUGUUGGCUGUAUGGAAGAUAGUAAAAUAGAUAGAA